rnacentral:lncRNA from 1 species
AAUUCUUGUAAGGUGCUUCUUCCCCAUCCAUUAAUUCCCUUAAAGUUAUUGAUGAAGCUUUUGGCCUUGCAACUUGCUAAACUCUUAUGGUAUGGAUACUUCAAUGUUUCUUUAAUAAUUCUAGCUUCAUCACAUGAGUCACUAUUUGCAAGACAUGCAUUUAGGUGAUCACCACUAAAAUUUGCAACUUCAUCAAGUAUGUGUUCACCUUCUACACCAAGUUGUGAUGCUUCAUAUAAACCAAUUAAUCCAUUUACAUCAUCUUGGCUAAGGUUUAAUCCAAAUGUCCCAUCAUCAUUGUUCUUGAAUCUUUUAAAUACAUCUGCCCAAUGCAAUAUAAGGUUGUUAGAUUAAAAUAUUUCAAAUCGAGGAUUAACUUUUAUAUACAAUGUGAAUGUAGUACUACAAUAAUUUAGAAAUAUUGGACUUCAAUGGAAAACCAAUUACCUGCUGACACGUGGUAACCUUCUUGUCUCAAAAGUCUGAAACAAAGUGAAAUAUCAUGAUGGUUUUGAUAUUUGUAAAAACAAGCACUUUGCUCAUAUUCCUUUUGUAAAAUUGAUUGAAUCUCUUCUUGAAAAUGGUGUUCAAUUCCCAUACGUUGAAGUGCAUCCACUAAAACAAGAUCGUUAGUACUAUUUAUUUGUGUCCUUAGUGCAUACUUUACAUCCUUCACAAGUAGUCCAAAUUUGGUACUAUUGAAUCCAUCCUGCAUUAGUAAUUAAGUAUUUUCUUAGUAUAAAAAAAACAAGAAUGGGAAAAUACUAUUUAUGGUGCAUCUUUCCCCUUUGUAUUAGUAGUAAGGUUAUCAAAAGGAUUUCUGAUUGGGCGGUUACUUUGCGAUAUUGUGUCAAUUCAAGUUUCGAACUUGUGCAGAUUUGAUUUUCUCUGAGAUCUCGAGAAUUCUUUAGUAAAGGCAUGGCUUAAGCCCACUCGGGACGGGAGAUUUUUCAACUACUAUUAUAAUUACAGCUCGUACAACCUUAAGGAAUCGAGACUAGUCUAAUAAGUUACUAGCUUUAUAGUUUGUUUUCUACUGAAUUACAUAAUUGAUUUAACUUACAUAGUGCAACAGUACGGUAUUGACACUCCUUUAUUGGAAAUUACAUCGUAUAAAUAGAUUUACUUUUAUAUAUAUAUGUUUGUCGCGUUAUGAAUUUUUAUUCAGAAUUUGUAUCAUUUAAUGAUGCUAUGUGAAUUGCUAGAAAAAUAUGAAGUAUAUUACUAGCUCAAUAACAAAAGUUUUAUAUGGGGAUUAGAAAAGACUACCAUGAUACAAAAGUAUAUUACAAGCUCAAUAAUAUAAACAAAAGAGAUGCAUUUUGCUAGCUCAAUGUUAUGUCUCAACUUACUUCAUGAAUCUUUAACUUAUACACGGAUAAUAUAUUUUAUGUAUGAUAGGAUAAAAUUAUCUAAUAUUAUCAAUUUAUAAAAGUUAAAAUCUUACGUUAUAGUAGCUUGUUUGAAGAUGAGAGGUUUCUUUAAAAAGAUCUUCUUGAACAUUCCAUUUGUUAGAGCUCCUGCAUGAAACUUGAAUACUUCUUUUGCUUCCAAUUUGGCAAAGAUAUAAUUGUGAAGGGUAGAAAGCUAUAGUAAUAUUUGCCAUGAAAGAUAAUUUAAUAUAUACAAAUAUUUCCCUGCCCAGUUUUCUUUUACCUUUGUCUCUUUCUCGUUAUAUACAUACACAAAUUAUACAAUUGAUCUUUUGUAUACAACUGCUUUCUUUUGUAUAUGUAUAGCGAAUUAUACAUAUAUAUGUUUGCUAUGGAGCGCAAUUAUGCAAACUUUGCUAUAGCAUACAAAUAUGAAUUUUGUGUUUGCUAUAUGUGAAAGUUGCUCUAAAAUUAUCUAUGAUUAAUUAUUUACUGAUCUCCACAAGUUGACUAUUAUAAUUAUUUUUUCUAAAGAAGUUGAUCUAUUGAGGUCGGUAUUUAUAUUUAUUUAUUUUUGAUAAAUAUCUCGACUUGGUCAACAAUAAAAAAAUUUCAUCAGUAAUAAAUAUGUCGACUUGGAAGUAGUUAUUUCGUAAGAAAUUACUAAAAAAUGUGCUUGAGUGAUAAGUAUAUUUUGACUAUGUAUUUUAGAUUUAUGAUUCAAUUCCUAUAAGUACUUUUUUUAUAUAAUGAUGUUUUACUUUCAGAGUGAAUAUUGUUAAUAAUUAAUCGAAUCUAAAAAUAAUAUUGAUUACUAAAUGAAGAAAUAAGUAGAAUAAAAGAAUGUCAACAUAGAGGACAAGCGUGAAACACAUUUACAACGAUUUUUUGCACAUAAGUAUCACGUGUGGUCAAUAGUGACGACGAUAGUGAAGUGGUUAAAGUAAGCAUACAAUAAAUAACUAAUAUAUUUUUUUAUCGAAAAGAUUCGAACAUGUCAAAUCUACCUAGCUUCGCCCUGGUAUGCAAUGGGCAAUCUCAGUAACAUGCUUCUAUCAAAGCAGUAAAACUCGACCAUCGUCUCAGUAAAGUAGCUCAUAGAUAUAGGAUACGAACGAUUAACAGUUCUUGCUAAAAAAAAGGUAGGGUUGUUCGCAAUCGAAUUGAAUAAUACAAAUUGAAAAAAAGUUAUUUGAUUUAUUGAUAAUGAAUUAUUGAUUUAGUAGUUUAGAUAACGAUUUUGAUUUUUUUAAUUAUCGGUUCUUAACGGUUUAAGAUUUUUUCUUAGUAGGUUAACCAUAAUCUGAUAGUAAAUUAAUAAAUUAUAUUUAUCAUUCGAUAUAUAAAGUCUUUGACUUAGGAUUUAGUUUCAUACUUUUAUUUUUUGUUGUCUCAACUCUUAGUUAUUUUACAGUGUAGUAGUGUUUGCUUUUGAGCAAGACGCAAACUAUCAACUCAUGUACCUAGUUCAUUUGGUUUGUCACCUUGAUUCCAAGUGAUCUUCAAUGAUUAUUUGGUUUAAUCAAUUAUGUUGGUUAUAAAAGUUAGACCAACAUUAUAAUGAUCAAUAAACGAUAAAUCAAUAUCUUGAUGAUUAUAUAAUAAUUUGACAUGUCUAUAAAUUAAUAAUCGACAAAUUAAAUCGAUAAAAUUCAAAAUCAAAUCAAAUCGAAUCGACCACGCAAUUACUUACCUCACAUUUGUGGUGGGCACAACUCCCAGGUAGGGGUGGUGGCCCAAACUCUGCAAUAUUAUCUCUAGCUAUUGAUAUCCACAAAUUAAAUUGAAUCUUAAUUUAUUUGGACAUCAAAAAUCAACAUCAAAAUCGACGAGAUUCCUUGAUUUUCGUAAAAUAAAAUAACAUUGGACUUUUUUUCUUAAUUUUAGUAUAAUUUUAAAUUUGCAAGAUUCCUUGAUUUUCGUAAAACAACAUUUUCAUUCUUUUAGUACUUAUAAUUUUACAAAACCAAUACAUAAAUAACACUGUUCUUUCCUAUUUUACCCUUUUUUAACAACCAACUAUUAUGAUUUAUGGUCACAUCACACACGUAUAGACUUCAAAGGUAAUGUUUAUACAAGUUCCAUUCAAGUUGAGUCUACUGCCAGAAUAAAUAAAAUAAUUUUUUUUAAUUUAAAAUUUUUAAUUAUUUUUUCUUUUAACAACAUUAAUCUCUCCUCACAUUAGCAAAAUAAGUAAAAAUGUUAGAAAUACUUAAAUCUAUCUUAGUUUUUAAAAAUAAUAAGUAUUUGGGGUCAAUUAUUUUUAGUAAUCAUGAUAAAUAAAAUGAACCAAUACUUUUAGGUAGGCACAUCGUCUCACCGACACUAACAAGUACUCUCUUUCAUUUACUUUUACUUAUCCGUUAUUUUUAAAAUAGAUUUUCAUUUUUAUGACUUUCAACGUAUUAAGAAAUUAAGUACAAUUUUUAUAUAUUUCACACUUAGCAGUAAUUAUUUAUUUUCUAAAUUAUUAUUUCUUAAGAGAUGUACGAGAUUUAAAAUGAACAAAUAAAAAUGAACGGAGAAAUUAACAACCAACAAUUUGUAGUGUAGGCAUUUAGAAACGUCACUUUAUUCUUCUCCCAUCACACAGUUCAAAAUGUCAUGUUGGUCUAACUUUAGUUAUCUAAAAAUCCAACAUAAUUCACUGUACUCCUUUCUUGGUUAAUCAUCUAUUUCAAAGUUUUUAAAAUUAUUUUGUUUUAGUUUCUUAUAAAUAUAUCCCAACUACCCCUUUUGAUUUGUCUCUUGCUGGACAAAGAAAAAUAUUGUGAGCCCUUAACUAAUUUUCUAUACGAAUGAGAGUAAUUUUAUAUUGAAGAAAGGUGUUUUUUUGUUAGAUUGAGUUUUAAACUCUUCAAUUAAUUUAGAGUUGUUUGAAUUAUACGAUGUUGUUGAGCUCAUGUUGUAUUCUAGAGGGGAUAAGCCAAGACUCAAGAUAUAUACUGCUGGAUCGGUGUAUGUUAUGUUACAGUAGAGUUUAAUUUCCUUAAAGAGAGUAAGAUAUCCGCACCUCAAUCUAAAUAUUUUAUUUAUUUAUUUUUUAUCAUUUUGUUUUUCAACUAUAAUUUGCUUUAAUUUGUGAUACAUAUACCAAUAUAUUUUAUUAAUAGACGUGCAAACAAAAACAUGACAAGUAAAAUGAUGCAAGAAAGUAUAAAACAAGCUAUAAAUAUUGAUAUAAUUAUGAAUUAUUUCAUAAAAAAUAAUAUAUUAUAAAGUUAAAAUAUUUUUAAACAUACUAGGUAUCAAUUUUUCCCCUAAAAAAAUCUUAAAAGAAAACAGUGAGAGUUGGCUAAUUCCAACUAUAUAUAGCUCAAUAGCAAACUUGAAACUUCUAUUAUAGUUUUCUACUAGUCAUGAAAGUAUGUAAAGCUAUUUGAUUGAUAAUAUAUAAAGCCAUCCACAAAGCCAAUUGAAAGUAUAUAUAGUGAUUCAAAUAAUACAUAUGUCAUAUAAAAGGAAGUUCCAACAAUAUGCUACCUUGUAUCAAUAUGUUUAGCUUACAUCUCAAAAUUAGUGUUUAAAAAGUUAGUAUUAAUUAAUUUAAAUAUUUCAGGCUCAAAACUCCUCAGACAUGUAUUGCAUUGUGGUCCAUUUAAAUACACACAAAUAGAUUCUUUGUGGUCAAGAUAGCUGUCUCUUCAUGUUUUUGUACAUAAUGUGUGGUUUCACUUCUUUGUGGAUGGAAUAAUAUAUUCAAUAUAGGAUCAGACAAAGACAUAAGUUUAAGUUUCAACAUCAGUAAUAUCAAGGUUUUCCUACUGUGAUUUAUUGAAAAAUUUAUGCUAUAGAAUAUAAGUUUUCCAUUCAUUUUUUACCGAAUCAGUUCAUUAAAAAAAUGCAUGGUGGAAAACAAAUUCUGACUGAACUUGUGGGAAAUUUCCUAUUUUGUUUUUCAUAUGAAAACAUUACUAUUUUUCUUUUCUCACCAAUUCUCAAUCAAAAUAUCUGAGGGAUAGCCACUGAACAUUUUCCAAUGAGAAAUUAUGUGGAAAAAAAGUGAUUUUUAAAAAGUGUCACAUGUCUAGGUCAUGAAAAAAAUUCAGACUUGUAUGUGAAAAAGAGUGUUAAUUAAAUUUCUCCUUAACCUUUUUCUAUGAAAUGAUCAUACUUCUCGUAAAAUAGUUACUAGUACUUUCAAAGACCUCUUUUCAGAUUUGACUUUGUAACAUUAUCCUCCUUUUGUGGUUUAUAAUGUUAUAUAUACUUAUCUCCUUUAUUAUAUUUUUUCAUAAUAAUUUUCUUACUUAUAUCUUAUUAAUACUAAAUAAUUAUAAUUGGACUAAUUUACCUAACACUACUCUAUUUUUAGGGGAAAUGUGCAGUUCUAUGAAAGUUCCAAAAUAAAUCACUCAUUCAAUCAUGAUUUCAUAGGAGGAUUUAAAAUUUCGAAGUUCUAAGUCCCAAGAUAAUAUGGGCCAAAAAGGCCAAGACUGGGUUGAAUUUAGAAGGAUUUUUCCAAGGGAGGGGAAGGUUGUCAACCAUCAAUAAAAUUCCGUCCCAUAUUAGUUGAUUAUUAUACUAAAUAUAGUUAUUUAUAUUAGUUAAUCACCUUACUAAAUCAAGAAAUCAUCAAUUAAUUUUUUUUAAUGUAAUAUCCUUGCAAUUACUUCUUUUUGAAAGAGUUCACAUUUGUUUGUGAAAUUUUCAAGAAGUUUUUUUAGGGGUGAAUUAGUAAAGUCGUCUUUUUAUUUAUGAUUUCUUAAGCAUCGUGCAAAAUGAAAAGUGAUCAACUAAUAUGGGACGGAGGGAAUAAUAAUGAUGUACUCUGUCUCAAUUAAUGUGUGUUAAUCGAAGUUUUGAGAUUUAAAUCGUUAAAUUUUGAUCGUAAAUUUGGAUAUACAAAUUUUAAGCUUUGCAAAAUAAAAUUGUAUAUUUAAAAGCUAUGCAAAGAGUGAAGUACAGUAAAUCAUAAUAAUUAAUAACUUAAAUAUUUAAAAGACAUAAAAAAAUAAUCAACAAAAUUUAGUUAACUUUUGAAAUUCCAACUAUGUGAUAUAAAUUGGAACAAAAGGAAUAGUUUAGAUAAAAUAUGCAUUCAUUUUAUCAUCUUUAGACUUUAUUUGUGAAAUUCCAUCGAAUUUAUCAUUGUAAAUGUGUGUGAGUGGCUCUCCUCCCUCCAACACCUAGGUAUAUGAGCCUAUUAUGGUCAUAUAUAUAAAUUUCAAAAUUUAAUGUCUUACACAUUGUUCUAUUCAAUAGGGUCUACUUCCAGCAUGUACCACUAAAUUCUUUAUCACAAAAAAAGAGUCCCAACAUCUAAUUCAUUCUCACCUACUUUAUUAGCAGUGAUACUUUGAUAAUUAAGAAAAAACAUCCCCUUUUAUUAUUUAAUCUUAAUCAUUUUCUUAUUUUUUUUUAGCUAAUCAUCCACCCUGACUUUCACUUUCUGUGAUAAUGGAGAGUUUGAUAUAUAAAAAAAUAAUUUAUUUUGCUAUGUUAAAUUUUGAUACUUCAACGACCUUUUAAGAUAUUAAUGGUCAGAUGAAGAAGGUUUUUGCGACUUUUCAUUACUUUUUAUUUACGAUUUGUUAUGAUGUAUUAAAAAUAAUAAGUUUUGCAUAAUUUUAAAAAAAAAAAAUUGUUUACAAAAAUACCCUUCACACUUUUUAGCUUUGAGAAAUGUAAAAUGUUUUGAGAGGGAUUUGAUGGGUAGUUAUCUGUUAUGUCAUUAAUCAAUCUAAUGCAUGUGUUGAAACUUGAAAUUACUUGUAUUACUAAUACAUGAAAAUUCAUGAUAAAAAAGUAUACCAAAAAGAUAUAAUAAUACACAAAGUUAAUACAUGCAUUAUUUCCAAGCAUAGGGACUAAAAUAAUACGAGACAAAAAAAAUUCUCUUAACAUAACUUGCUAAAAUCAACAAAUAAAAAAAUAAUUAUUUUUAAUAGAGGGACCAAAUAAAAAAUAAAACGGAGGAAAUAACUUUUAAAUAUAAAAGAGUAGUAUUAAUUUCUUAACUUUUUUCUUUAUGUUUUAUUUCUUAACUAUAAAUUAGAAAAACAGUACCAAGUAAUAAGGAGUAAUAUAAUAGAUCUACUUUUUUUUUGUUAUACUACAUUUGAAUUUAAAGAGUCUAAUUCAAAAUAUGAAUCACGUGGAUUCAACUUUCUAUCUCAAUAUUAAAUUUAUUACAUAUUUUUCAAAUUGUGAAUUCAGACUUAUUAGUUAUUGUAAAUGUAAAUCUAAUUAAAUUAUUAUAUCAAAAUUAUGCCCUACAAUAAAUAUUGAGUUUAAAACAAUUGAUGUCAUAAUGCUACAUUCACUUUUAAAGAACUUAUAACCACAUAAUAUAUGUUGGUUGGGAGAGGAAGGGGCUAGCCCAUGUCCUUUUUCUUUUUUAUUAGUAGUAAUUUAUAUCCUUUUUGGAUUUUCUUUUUUUACCGAAGGUUUAGCUAUUACAAACAACCUCUUUAUCCUGUAAAAAUAGAAAUAAAAUUUGCACAACAUCAUAUUCUCUUUGUUCCCACUUGCAAUAGUUAUCAAUGUAUAUAUUUGAUAUUUUGAAUUCAGACAUUAUUAUUUGUGGGCUCCCUCCAAACCCUAGGUAGAUGAAGCAUAAAUGUAUAAGAGUAAUUGUAGUGGUCAUAUGCAUAAAUUUUAGAAGUAAAAUCUAUAUAUAAAAGUUCUUUUCAAAUAGGGUCUACUGCCAGCAUAAUCUAUGGUACCACCAACUUGUUUUUUGUCACAAAAAAGUUCCCCAAGAAUUAAUUUAUUUUUAAUUGUUGACGAGUAGUGUCACACUAAAUGUAUACAAUAUCAAAGAACUACAUAGUUCAAACAUAUUCUUAGCACCCUGUAUGAAUCAAUUAAGGAAAGUAUUCGGCCAAGAUAUUUUCUUCAACAAGGAGAUAGAGAAUAAGGGUGUCAAUUGGGCCGACCUGUUCUAUUUCGGCCCAGUAAGACCGGUCCGCUAACGGCCCGCGUCCAGUAAGCCCAGGACCGACACCUGAUCCCCUUACUUAGUGGACUAUGCCGGUCCGGAUAUUUUUUAGGGCAAAUUGAGCGUUGAUACAUUAAUCUGAUGCGCGAGAUACAAUAAUAUAAUAUAAGCGUUGAUACAUUAAUCUGAUGCGCGAGAUACAAUAAUAUAAUAUAAGCGUUGAUACAUUAAUCUGAUGCGCGAGAUACAAUAAUAUAAUAUAAGCGUUGAUACAUUAAUCUGAUGCGCGAGAUACAAUAAUAUAAUAUAAGCGUUGAUACAUUAAUCUGAUGCGCGAGAUACAAUAAUAUAAUAUAAGCGUUGAUACAUUAAUCUGAUGCGCGAGAUACAAUAAUAUAAUAUAAGCGUUGAUACAUUAAUCUGAUGCGCGAGAUACAAUAAUAUAAGCGCUGAUACACUAAUCUGAUGCGCGAAAAUGAGGGACUUUGGAAAUUUAUAAAACUUAUAGGGGAUAAUGGUAAUAAGUAAACUAAAAGGUGAGAUUUCUGUAAUUUUUUCUAUUUUUUAUUCAGAGCCCAGUAAGGCCGGCCCGCGUACGGUAAGCCUGAGACUGACACCUGGGCCCCUUACUUAGUGGUCUGGGCUGAUCUGGAUACUUUUUGCUCAGAGCUCGGUAAGGCCGGCCCAGUAAGAGACUGAUCGACAACGCAUCGAUCUGGUAAGUAAAUUUUUGUGUGACGAUAUCAAUGAUUGUAAAAUUAAGGAAUGAACAGUUGCAACAAUCAUGUUCAAUUUCUUUUGACAAUUUUAGAUUGUGGUGCUUUGUAAUCAAGGGCGAGAAGGAAGUUCAUGGAAAGGUAGUUCACAUUGAUAAAUCACCAUACAACAUAGACUUGAUAUAUUCUUGAAGGAUAGGAAGGGAUUGGUUAUCAUCAUAACUAUACAUAAGAGGAACCAUUCUUGCAGAAUUAAGUGAAGCUUUUGAAAAUGAUCUUGAAGAUGGACUCAUUAGAUGUAAAUGUUCCUUGUUGAGUUUCUUCCAUUCAUCUUCUAUUAGAUUAAUCACAUGUUCUCUUGCCAAUUCAAUGGAAGUAUCUUUGUUUUCCUUCAUGUAACAUUCUAUGUAUGAACCAUCUUUUCCUUCUUGAUCCUCAUCCUGCACACACAACGCAUAUUCUAAAAAUGAUACAAACAUGUCACGUGUAAAGAUGAAAUUUCUUUUUGUUACCUUGGCACUUCCAAGAUCAUCCCAAAGGCGAAGAAUCGUAGCCACAGAAGAAGAUAUGGCUGAUACAUCUUCCAAAUGAAUAGAACUAACACCAAGACCUAAGAGAUAGAACAUGUGAACUAAGACUGCUUGAACUCCCGAACUAACAAGUCCAUUCUUUAGGUACUCAUUUGUUGAUGGCACCACUCCAGAAGCAAACCAUUUUGCUUCUUUUAGAAAUGCAUUGCACAAAUUUCCCCACUAAAAUUCAAAAAAAAUAAUAAUUAACAAUUAUGAGUAAUAAUAUAUAAUAAAGUAUUGAAAAUAAUUUAUUUGUAUAUAUAUAUAAUUAUCUUAAUUUAGACUUCUCAUUUUAUUAUACCCUUAUAUCUAUAAAAUAUUUCUUCUUUUUUUUUUGUUCAGUCGAAUACGUCAUAUAAAAUAUAAUAAAUUUAAUAUUUUGAAAAAUACAUUAAAAAAAUGACUAGUUAAUAAUAAGGGUAAAUUAGAAACUAAGUGAUAAAUUAUCUCUUGAACUAAGUGAUAUAUAAGUAAACUAAGUGAUAUAUAAGUAAAAAUAAACAUCUAUUUUUAAAAGUGAACGAAAAGGGUAUCAAAGCAAAUAAAACAUGUGAAUAUAUAGUACCGUAUUCCGUAGAUUUUGAGUGGGGUUUUGUCCAUAGAUUUUGUAGAUAUUAUAGCCAACGGAAUUAAUUGUAUUAUAAAGAGCCUUGUAAGGUGAUCUCAUGUAUUCUGGUAGGUCCACCAUGGCGCUCAAUUCCCACCUAAAAUAAUAAUAGCCUUUAAGGUUAUGGACCAACAAAAAAAAAAUAACGACGUUUUACACAAUCAGAUCAUUUUUAUCUCAAAUAAAAUACCUAUUGACGGCUUGAGUGAAAAGGGUUAACUCUUCAAUAGUCCCAUAAACAUCAAAGAUAUCAUCAAUGACAUAAACAAAAGAGAUGCAUUUUGCUAGUUCAAUUCUUUGUUGUGACAUUCUUGGAUCUUGAAGGACUGCCAUUGACCAAGUAUACCAUUUUAAUGGUUGAUCUCUCAAAAGCUUCAAUUCUUCAGCUAAACCGAGACUUUUCCACCACCUAUGUAUGUAUACAUAUAUAUCAUAAGAAGAUUAAAUUGUUUAUAUAUAUAUAUAGAUAGUAUAAAGAUUUUGAAUAUUAUAUAUUAACGGAAAGAAGAAAGAUUUGAAUCAAGACCUCCAUAUUCUAAAUAGUGAGAAAGACAUUUUGAUAUUCAAUCGAGACCUUGUAGGAACUUGUGAUCAGUAGGGGCGGAGCUAGAAGUUUGGGUCUGGAUUCGAUUAAAUCCAAUAAAAUUUGCUCAAAUAGUGUGUUAGUAUUAAGAAUUUUAUUACAUAUGGAUAAAUAUUAAGUUUAGAACCUAAUUUAUUAACACUUGAAAUCGUCAUUUUAAAUUCAAAACCCAUAAGGUUAAAAUUCUGAUUUUGUCUCUGGUGAUUAGUGCUUUUAAACUUGUUUGUAGCAUGUAAAUUGUCUUAUUUUAGGUUAUUAAUUCAAUUUUUUAAUAACCUAUAGCUUUUUGAGUUUAAUUUUAUAUGUAAAGAUAGUUAAAGGAUUUUUGUAACAUCAAGUCCCCUAAAAAUGAGAUCAAUAACCUAGAAAGUGAAAUAAGUUACCUAUUAUAAUAAGUUAAAAUAUAAUGAUGGUAUCAAACUCCUUUAUAGUCGAUAUCAGUAUAAAUAAGUUAAAUGCUUAAUUAUAGGUAAUCUGAUGGUGUAAAACUCUUAUAUUGUUAGGGGUCGUUUGGUUACUGUAUAAGAGACAUCUUAUUCAUGUAUAAAAAGUUGACAUUAGCUUUACUGUGUUUGGUAGAAGUUUUGUGUUAGGUAUAAAAGUCAGCAUAACUUAUACCACGUUUGGUUGGUAAGAAUUUAAAUGUUGUAUAAAAGUUAUUCAUGUAUUAAUUUAUACGGUGUUUGGUUGCAUUUUUAUAGUCCUACAUAAUUAAUACCAACAUAACUUAUGAGGGAAUCUAUGUAUAAAGUUAUGCAGGGUAGAAGGUGGAAUAAGUUAUGUGGGUAUUAGUUAUACAUGUAUUAAAAUGAUAGAUUACAUAUUUACCCUAUUAAUUUAUUUUUUAUUUUUUAAUUGGAAACUUUAUUGUUUCCUAUAUACGUUUGUUGUUUUUAUUUCUUUUUAUAUAUAGAUUAUUUUCAUUUCUUUUAAUUUAUUUUAUUUUAUUUUAUUUGGAAACUUUACUGUAUUCCUAUCUACGUUUGUUAUUUUUAUUUCUUUUUAUAUAUAGACUAUUUUCAAUUUUUUUUUUAUACAUUUACCGUUUUUAGAUUUAUGCAAAUAUAAAUAUUUUUUUAAUAUUAGAGAUUUGAUUGUAUAUUUUUUGACGGUACAUAUGCUAAUCAAAUAUUAGCAUUAUGCUGGAGUUGUUCUAUCAGUUUAGGAUUUUUUUGUUUCCAAAUUAGAUUAUUUCUAGUUGUUUUUGUUUUGUCUAUUUUGUUGACCGACUUGGUCACUCUUGGACCUUGUUUGGACACAUUUUUAUUUGAUGAAUAAAUGGACAUGGUCCAAUGUUGAUUAAAAAAAAUAAAAAAUAUUAGCAUUGUAUAUUAUUCAAUAUAUUCCACAUUUUAUUAAAAUGUAUUAUUAUUUUGUAAAUAAUAUAUAUUAAUAAUUUACUACAAGUUUAAUAUAAUAGUUAAUAAUUCAUGUAUUGUAAUCUCUACAUAACUAAAUAAUACCUACAUAACUAAUAUCCACAUAGCUAAUACCCGCAUAACUAAACCCUGCAUAACUAAACCCUGCAUAAUUAAUACAUGCAUAACUAAACCCUGCAUAACUAAACCCUGCAUAAUUAAUACAUGCAUAACUAAACCCUGCAUAACUAAACCCUGCAUAAUUAAUACAUGCAUAACUAAACCCUGCAUAACUAAACCCUGCAUAAUUAAUACAUGCAUAACUAAACCCUGCAUAACUAAACCCUGCAUAAUUAAUACAUGCAUAACUAAACCCUGCAUAACUAAACCCUGCAUAAUUAAUACAUGCAUAACUAAACCCUGCAUAACUAAACCCUGCAUAAUUAAUACAUGCAUAACUAAACCCUGCAUAACUAAACCCUGCAUAAUUAAUACAUGCAUAACUAAACCCUGCAUAACUAAACCCUGCAUAAUUAAUACAUGCAUAACUAAACCCUGCAUAACUAAACCCUGCAUAAUUAAUACAUGCAUAACUAAACCCUGCAUAACUAAACCCUGCAUAAUUAAUACAUGCAUAACUAAACCCUGCAUAACUAAACCCUGCAUAAUUAAUACAUGCAUAACUAAACCCUGCAUAACUAAACCCUGCAUAAUUAAUACAUGCAUAACUAAACCCUGCAUAACUAAUACCUGCAUAACUAAACCCUGUAUAACUAAUACCUGCAUAACUCUAACCAGUAACCAACCGGCCCCUUAGUGUAUAAUAGUUAAAUUCAACUAAUUAAUAUACCUGGAAACUUGAGCCAAUUCAUGUUGAUGUAUCUCUUUUGUUAUGGAGUAGUCCAUAUUUGCCAAUUCUUGUAAGGUGCUUCUUCCCCAUCCAUUAAUUCCCUUAAAGUUAUUGAUGAAGCUUUUGGCCUUGCAACUUGCUAAACUCUUAUGGUAUGGAUACUUCAAUGUUUCUUUAAUAAUUCUAGCUUCAUCACAUGAGUCACUAUUUGCAAGACAUGCAUUUAGGUGCUCACCACUAUAAUUUGCAACUUCAUCAAGUAUGUGUUCACCUUCUACACCAAGUUGUGAUGCUUCAUAUAGAUCAAUUAAUCCAUUUACAUCUUGGCUAAGGUUUAAUCCAAAUGUCCCAUCAUCA